GAUCAUGGCUCAGGAUGAACGCUAGCUACAGGCUUAACACAUGCAAGUCGAGGGGCAGCAUGGUCUUAGCUUGCUAAGGCCGAUGGCGACCGGCGCACGGGUGAGUAACGCGUAUCCAACCUGCCUUACACUCUUGGACAGCCUUCUGAAAGGGAAGGAUUAAUACAAGAUAUUAUCAUGAGUAAGCAUUUUCGUCAUGAUUAAAGGUUUACCGGUGUAAGAUGGGGAUGCGUU
rnacentral:rRNA from 1 species